CAAAUCAUUAGAAGGGGCAAAAAUCAAGACAAUAGUUCCGAGUUACAGCACAAGUUAAUUUUAUAUCCACCAAGCUCAAACUGACAGCUUAGGCAGCUUAGGCUCCAGGGGAAAUGGAAAAAAAAUAAAAAUAAAUUAAACAGAACUGCAAAAAUAAAUAAAUAAAAAUAAAUCACUUCCUCCCUGACGCAGCACAAACCUAACAUAUGCUGCUUUCUAUUUUAAUGAAACAAGCGAUCAAAGGGCCUCCCUGUCCAAUAUACAUUCAUUAUAAAACUAGAAAGCAAUUGUAGAAAAUCAGUUUGGGUGUGUUUUUCCCCUCUCAACUGGAUGUCUAGUUUCACAAUGUUCUGCUGUGCUCCGAAAAACUGGAGGGGAAAGAAUCGAUAGAGCUGACCUGCAUCCAUUACAACCUUGCCCAAAAUCCCGAACAAAUUUUGAUUUCCCAAUCUUGAUGCUUUUAGGCAAGGACCUAUCUGAUACCAAACAAGCUCCAUUUCAUGCCCCGAUUAAUAAUUAGUGACCUUCCCUGUACUCAGGGUUCUCCUUCAAGAUGACAAAGCCUUCAAGAAUGGGUGAAAGAGGAAUAUACUUCUC
rnacentral:misc_RNA from 1 species